UUGAUCCAUGAAUAAUUAUAAUUCAAUAACAGUUCCAGUACACAUUUUACUCACUUCAAUCAGGGAUAACGUAACUUUUUACAAUUUAGUGAAAAAUAUUUUGAGUACAAUGAGUAGAAGAUGUCAUGUUUUCAAUGGAUAGCAAGUGUCAAGCUGCCUCCAGUAAACCAGCUAUAAUAAUGGCCACCAUUCCUUAGCUUACUCAUUCAAAGCUGUAAUAGACAGCAAGUCAGGCAGUAACAUCAGAGCUUCAGAAGAGAAGGCAUCUAAACCGCAAACAGCUCAGUCUUUUUAUGCUUUUCUCCUCCUUAAUUCCUUUUGACCGCUCGCUUUUGACUCUCUCUCUUUAUCAAAAUACAGUUUGAUGGUUUCUCCAACAGAUAACUGCUGCCAAGUAUAAUUUUAAUGUACUGCUGGCAUGAGCUAUACAUGUAGUCUAUAUCUAGUAUGAAGUAUUUUUCAAACAUUUUGAUUUUAACAAUUAUGGUCGUAAUUCAAAAA